CACGUAGGGCGCAAGCGUUGUCCGGAAUUAUUGGGCGUAAAGAGCUCGUAGGCGGUCUGUUACGUCUGCUGUGAAAACCCGGGGCUUAACCCUGGGCUUGCAGUGGAUACGGGCAGACUAGAGGCAGGUAGGGGAGAAUGGAAUUCCUGGUGUAGCGGUGAAAUGCGCAGAUAUCAGGAGGAACACCGGUGGCGAAGGCGGUUCUCUGGGCAUGUCCUGACGCUGAGGAGCGAAAGUGUGGGGGAGCGAACAGG
rnacentral:rRNA from 1 species